UUAACUGAAGCCAAAAAGAGGCAUAUUAUUGUUAAUAAUAUCAAUGAAAAUAGUUCCAGUUAAA
rnacentral:tRNA from 1 species